rnacentral:lncRNA from 1 species
GUGGGAUAUUAGUGGGGUGCGAUGUUACUUGAUGUGAUAUCAUUAAUGGGGAGCAAUGAUAUUAGUGGGGUGCGAUAUCAUUACUGGUGUGGGAUAUUACCUAUAAUUAUUUAGAAAGAAGAUGCAAUGUUUUUAAUGUUUGUGGUGCUGAGGUGUGUGUGAUGCUCUGUUCAUUCUCGCAGGAGCUGCUGGCGUGAGCGCAGCGUGUUGCGCAGAGUUUAGCUGGCAGACAGGAUGACGUGUGAAUUUUUCCUGCUCUCGUCCCUGUGGUUCAUUGUUGUGAUAUUUUGGAUGGAGACUAUCAGCAUGUGGCUCUUCCUCUGCCAUCUAUUCCAGGAUCGCGCCCUGCAUCAGUGGGUGGAGAGGUGUGUGAUAUCCAGCAUGUCUGAGGUUUAGUAUAAAGUGCACCAACUUGUCACUUGUGUGUAUUGUAUGUGGAUGCUGUGAGAAGGCGUUCAGCACUCUGGAAGGAAAACCCAAAGCAAUAUCAAGCACAAAGCCGAUUAUGACAAUGUCGCCCACAUCUGCUGCACAUACAGGGGUGAAGGACUGAGAAACUGUCACUUUCAGAAAAGUCAGUGGCCUUUUCUUUAGAAGAACCGUAAUUGGGUUUAAACUUUUCCAGAUAAGUUUCCCUCCACAUAUUUUUAAUAGUGACCAGUCUGAAUUAAUAUUCUCUGCAGAUUUGCCGUCUGUAAUAGGUGUGUUGGUCUUUAUAGUGUGCGCACACCCAGUAAUGGUUCUGCUAGAAUACAGGGUGUGCGCUUGUGAUAUUACCAGGUUCGCUUCUGCCCCAGUUGCUGUGGCUUGACUGGGGUCCUCCUGGAGCCUCUCCAUCCUUGAACAGGAUAGGGGACUAGCUCUAUUCCCUCCCAGGGACUGGAAGACACACAGUCCUGUAGUCCUUACAAAGACUUUCCCAGACGAAUCCUCCUCGAGCUGAAACUAGGUGCUGUGCUGUGCUGUGAUUAGCCCUUCCCCUCCCAGUAACUAGAGGACACAUAGUCCUGGGAGUUCAACUGAUUUUAAUGAGCCAAACUUGGCUUUUUAUGCACUGACCCCAGCAUGGGGUCUCCAUUGUAUUCAACACAAGCCCCUUCCAGGAAUACCUGGACCUGGAAGAUAAUUGAGUUAAAGAACGGUAAGCUAAUUAUCUCCCAGCAACACAUAACAUAAAAGUACCCCGGUUAUAAUAUACUGUGUGUGGUAAUGGACCGGUUAUAAUCUAAUAUACUGUGUGUGGCAAUGGGCCGGAUAUAAUAUUCUGUGUGUGGUCAUGGACCGGUUAUAAUAUACUGUGUGUGCUAAUGGGCCGGUUAUAAUGUACUGUGUGUGCUAAUGGGCCGGUUAUAAUGUACUGUGUGUGCUAAUGGGCCGGUUAUAAUAUACUGUGUGUGCUAAUGGGCCGGUUAUAAUAUACUGUGUGUGGCAGUGGGCCGGAUAUAAUAUACUGUGUGUGGUCAUGGACCGGUUAUAAUAUAAUAUACUGUGUGUGGUAAUGGACCGGUUAUAAUAUAAUAUACUGUGUGUGGCAAUGGGCCGGUUAUAAUAUACUGUGUGUGGCAGUGGGCCGGAUAUAAUAUACUGUGUGUGGUCAUGGACCGUUUAUAAUAUACUGUGUGUGCUAAUGGGCCGGUUAUAAUGUACUGUGUGUGCUAAUGGGCCGGUUAUAAUGUACUGUGUGUGCGCUAAUGGGCCGGUUAUAAUAUACUGUGUGUGCUAAUGGGCCGGUUAUAAUAUACUGUGUGUGGUCAUGGACCGGUUAUAAUAUAAUAUACUGUGUGUGGUAAUGGACCGGUUAUAAUAUAAUAUACUGUGUGUGGCAAUGGGCCGGUUAUAAUAUACUGUGUGUGGUCAUGGACCGUUUAUAAUAUACUGUGUGUGCUAAUGGGCCGGUUAUAAUAUACUGUGUGUGGUCAUGGACAGUUUAUAAUAUAUUGUGUGUGGCAAUGGGCUGGUUAUAAUAUACUGUGUGUGGUCAUGGACCGUUUAUAAUAUACUGUGUGUGCACACAAAACUAUCGUUCAUUGCAGCAUGGGAGAAGGAAUUCACAUAUACUCUCGAUGCGCGGCAAUGGAAUAAAAUUCUACUUGCACAUAACUCACUCUCCAAAUGCGCCUCCCACAUGGAACUAUCCCGAAAAAUCCUAUAUUGGUGGUACUUAGUGCCUACACGUAUAAAAGCAACAUACCCACAAGCCUCCGAUCUCUGUUGGAGAUGCCAACAACACAAAGGCACAAUGCUCCAUGUAUGGUGGAACUGCCCCUCCCUAACAAACUACUGGGACAACAUAACUACCAUUAUACAAGAUAGCACAAACAUGCUUUUACCCCGCAAGCCAGAAACGUACCUUCUCCAGCUUUUCCCGAAGGGAAUGCAGGGUAGCCAGAAAUACUUAACUUACCACAUACUUAUGGCUACACUAACUGUCAUUCGUAGACACUGGAAAUCCGCUAUCCCGCCCACAAUAACAGAAUGUGUACAAACGAUAGAAACAACUAAGCUCUAUGAACAGGCAACCAGACGAUCAAGUCAAUCCAAAAAAAUUUGGUCACAAGCCUGGGAAACCUGGCAGUCGUACAUAAGGCGUAACACCGUGCCCUCAAAAUAAGAGGCUGUGCCCUUUUAGACAAUGAAAAUUGUAAAUGAUAACAAAAUUGUAAAUAAUGAUAACGUGGUGAAUAAAAAUAACAAAUAGUUGAAAGAACAAAUGCUCAAUAGAAUCAACCAUAAGAAGUCAAAAGCCUGGGAGAACCCUACCCCCUUCUAUCUACACCUCAUCCCCCACCUGUGCCCCCACCCCCCUAAACCCAUCCCUUCUCCACCGUUCCCCCCCCCCCUCUUCCAGUGGUACAUGAAACACCAAUACUCUGCACCUUCUACCAAAGACAAAACCAGGUGAAUGUGGACCCCGAUAGUCGAACGUGAGUCCUUCCCACGGUAGAAAACUGACCAAACCGCUAGACAAACCUAGAGAAACACAAAGCCUGUACACAAAAAAGUCAAAUAUAAAAAUGUUGUAUAUGAAUAAUGUGCAAAUUGUAUGCAUGUCAGUGUAUAAGACGAUAUUUAUCUUACCACUGUUCCCCAUCCCCAUUCUAUUCUGUACCCUUAUAAAACUGAAAUAAAAAUUGUCGAAGUUAAAAAAUAAAAAUAAAUAUACUGUGUGUGCUAAUGGGCCAGUUAUAAUAUAAUAUACUGUGUGUGCUAAUGGGCCAGUUAUAAUAUAAUAUACUGUGUGUGCUAAUGGGCCAGUUAUAAUAUAAUAUACUGUGUGUGCUAAUGGGCCAGUUAUAAUAUAAUAUACUGUGUGUGGCAAUGGGCCGGUUAUAAUAUAAUAUACGGUGUGUGGCAAUGGGCUGGUUAUAAUAUAAUAUACUGUGUGUGGCAAUGGGCUGGUUAUAAUAUAAUAUACUGUGUGUGGCAAUGGGCCAGUUAUAAUAUAAUAUACUGUGUGUGGCAAUGGGCCGGUUAUAAUAUAAUAUACGGUGUGUGGCAAUGGGCUGGUUAUAAUAUAAUAUACUGUGUGUGGCAAUGGGCUGGUUAUAAUAUAAUAUACUGUGUGUGGCAAUGGGCUGGUUAUAAUAUAAUAUACUAUGUGUGGCAAUGGGCCAGUUAUAAUAUAAUAUAAUAUAAUAUAAUAUAAUAUAAUAUACGGUGUGUGGCAAUGGGCCGGUGUAUAAUAUAAUAUACGGUGUGUGGCAAUGGGCUGGUUAUAAUAUAAUAUACUGUGCGUGGCAAUGGGCCGGUUAUAAUAUAAUAUACUGUGUGUGGCAAUGGGCCGGUUAUAAUAUAAUAUACUGUCUGUGGCAAUGGGCUGGUUAUAAUAUACUGUGUGUGGCAAUGGGCUGGUUAUAAUAUAAUAUACUGUGCGUGGCAAUGGGCCAGUUAUAAUAUAAUAUACUGUGUGUGGCAAUGGGCUGGUUAUAAUAUAAUAUACGGUGUGUGUGGUAAUGGGCAGGUUAUAAUAUACUGUGUGUGGCAAUGGGCUGGUUAUAAUAUAAUAUACUGUGUGUGGCAAUGGGCCGGUUAUAAUAUAAUAUACUGUGUGUGGCAAUGGGCCGGUUAUAAUGUAAUAUACUGUGUGUGGCAAUGGGCCGGUUAUAAUGUAAUAUACUGUGUGUGGCAAUGGGCCGGUUAUAAUAUAAUAUACUGUGUUUGGCAAUGGGCUGGUUAUAAUAUAAUGUACUGUGUGUGGCAAUGGGCCGGUUAUAAUAUAAUAUACUGUGUGUGGCAAUGGGCUGGUUAUAAUAUAAUAUACGGUGUGUGUGUGUGUGUGUGGUAAUGGGCAGGUUAUAAUAUAAUAUACUGUCUGGCAAUGGGCCGGUUAUAAUAUAAUCUACUGUGUGUGGUAAUGGGCUGGUUAUAAUAUAAUAUAAUAUACGGUGUGUGGCAAUGGGCCGGUUAUAAUAUAAUAUACGGUGUGUGGCAAUGGGCUGGUUAUAAUAUAAUAUACGGUGUGUGGCAAUGGGCCGGUUAUAAUAUAAUAUAAUAUAAUAUAAUAUACUGUGUGUGGCAAUGGGCUGGUUAUAAUAUAAUAUAAUAUACUGUGUGUGGCAAUGGGCUGGUUAUAAUAUAAUAUACGGUGUGUGUGUGUGUGUGGUAAUGGGCAGGUUAUAAUAUAAUAUACUGUGUCUGGCAAUGGGCUGGUUAUAAUAUAAUAUACUGUGUGUGGCCAUGGGCUGGUUAUAAUAUAAUAUACUGUGUGUGGCAAUGGGCUGGUUAUAAUAUAAUAUACGGUGUGUGUGUGUGGUAAUGGGCAGGUUAUAAUAUAAUAUACUGUGUCUGGCAAUGGGCCGGUUAUAAUAUAAUCUACUGUGUGUGGCAAUGGGCUGGUUAUAAUAUAAUAUACGGUGUGUGGCAAUGGGCCGGUUAUAAUAUAAUAUACGGUAUGUGGCAAUGGGCUGGUUAUAAUAUAAUAUACGGUGUGUGGCAAUGGGCUGGUUAUAAUAUAAUAUACGGUGUGUGUGUGUGGCAAUGGGCCGGUUAUAAUAUAAUCUACUGUGUGUGGCAAUGGGCCGGUUAUAAUAUAAUCUACUGUGUGUGGCAAUGGGCUGGUUAUAAUAUAAUAUACUGUGUGUGGCAAUGGGCUGGUUAUAAUAUACUGUGUGUGGCAAUGGGCUGGUUAUAAUAUAAUAUACGGUGUGUGUGGUAAUGGGCAGGUUAUAAUAUAAUCUACUGUGUCUGGCAAUGGGCCAGUUAUAAUAUAAUCUACUGUGUUUGGCAAUGUGCUGGUUAUAAUAUAAUAUACUGUGUGUGGCAAUGGGCAGGUUAUAAUAUACUGUGUGGCAAUGGGCCGGUUAUAAUAUAAUAUACUGUGUGGCAAUGGGCCGGUUAUAAUAUAAUCUACUGUGUGUGGCAAUGGGCCGGUUAUAAUAUACUGUGUGUGGCAAUGGGCCGGUUAUAAUAUAAUCUACUGUGUGUGGCAAUGGGCCGGUUAUAAUAUAAUAUACUGUGUGUGGCAAUGGGCUGGUUAUAAUAUAAUAUACGGUGUGUGUGUGGUAAUGGGCAGGUUAUAAUAGUGUGUGUGUGUGUGUGUGUGGCAAUGGGCCGGUUAUAAUAUAAUAUACUGUGUGUGGCAAUGGGCCGGUUAUAAUAUAAUCUACUGUGUGUGGCAAUGGGCUGGUUAUAAUAUAAUAUAUUGUGUGUGGCAAUGGGCCGAUUAUAAUAUAAUAUACGGUGUGUGGCAAUGGGCUUGUUAUAAUAUAAUAUAAUAUUGUGUGUGUGUGUGUGUGUGUGUGUGUGUGUGUGUGGGUGGUCAUGGGCCGGUUAUAAUAUACGGUGUGUGGCAAUGGGCUGGUUAUAAUAUAAUAUACUGUGUGUGGCAAUGGGCUGGUUAUAAUAUAAUAUACUGUGUGUGGCAAUGGGCUGGUUAUAAUAUAAUAUAAUAUAUUGUGUGUGGCAAUGGGCCGAUUAUAAUAUAAUAUACGGUGUGUGGCAAUGGGCUUGUUAUAAUAUAAUAUUGUGUGUGUGUGUGUGUGUGUGUGUGUGUGUGUGUGUGGUCAUGGGCCGGUUAUAAUAUACGGUGUGUGGCAAUGGGCUGGUUAUAAUAUAAUAUACUGUGUGAUGCUGUAACAGACAUUCUGCUUUCUCCCCAGGAUUUACACACCCUGACCAGAUAAUGUACGUAAUAAUCAGGUGAGUACAGAGCGCGUAUUGUUUGUAUUGUUAAUAGUUUUAUUGUUUGAUUAUACCUGUCCAGACAUACAAGCUAUUCAGACAGGCGAUGUGUAAAUAUUUUACUGCCCUGGGUUUAUGACACAAGUUUCACCAGGCUCCUCUCUGAAUAACAACACAUUAACACCCUCUCCCUCCCCCUCCAAAAACCCGUUCUCCACCCCCUUGACAUGCUUUGCCAAACCUAACCCUCCCCUGUACCCAUUGUACGUCUUGUAUACUGUGGGAUAUCUCUCCUUCACCUGCUAUAUAAGGUCUGAUUGUGUGCGUUGCAGUCAGAACCAGGGGCGGGCUCACAGAGCCCUCAGGCAAUAGGGGAUUGUGCGCUUUCACACCGAUAUUAUGUGCACGCUGUCCAGCUUGCAUAAUGGCUGAAUGAGAGCCACACAGUCAUGACUCCCAGACCUGCAGGGCCUCAGAAGAGGGCCAGCUUUACAUUUAAUAGGUCAAUCCUACCAAAAACAGUGUUUUAAUAAAACCCUAACUGGCUUCCACACCUCCCAUUAAAAUAAAUAAAGCUAAUUUAAUUAUACAAAAUCUGUUUGUUGCUGCCGAUAUCACAAGCAGUGUCCCCCACAUGUGCAACCAUACUAGUCCAUAUAAGUACAAUGUUUGUAGGCUACUUGUGUGGUUGCGUGUGGGGGCUUCUGCUUGUGAUGUUGUGUUCCUGUAUGUCAAUGUGCUGAGUUAGAAUGUAUCUGUCUUGUUUUACCUAUUGUACUGCGCUGCAGAAUAUGUUGGUGCUAUAUAAAUAACUGUAAUAAUUGUGAUUGUAUGUGUAAGGAGGCUGUAUGCAGCAUUGUAAAGGUGGGAAUGCAGCUUGUGAUGUGUGUGUGUGUGUGUGUGGGGAGGCUGUAUGCAGUAUUGUAAUGGUGGAGAUGCAGCUUGUGUGUGUGUGUACGCUGUAUGCAGUAUUGUAAUGGUGAGGAUGCAGCGUGUGGUGUGUGUGUGUGUAGGGAAGCUGUAGCAGGAUUGUAAUAGUGGGGAUGCAGCUUGUGGUGUGUGUGUGUGGAGGCUGUAUGCAGUAUUGUAAUGGUGGGGAUGCAGCGUGUGGUGUGUGUGUGUGUGUGUGUGGAGACUGUAUGCAGUAUUGUAAUGGUGGGGAUGCAGCUUGUGUGUGGAGGCUGUAUGCAGUAUUGUAAUGGUGGGGAUGCAGCUUGUGGGGGGUGUGUGUGAAGGGAGACUGUAUGCAGUAUUGUAAUAGUGGGGAUGCAGCUUGUGGGGGGUGUGUGUGUGUGUAGGCUGUAUGCAGUAUUGGAAUGGUGGGGAUGCAGCUUGAGGUGUAUGUGGAGGCUGUAUGCAGUAUUGGAAUGGUGGGGAUGCAGCUUGUGUGUGUGUGUGUGGGCUGUAUGCAGUAUUGUAAUGGUGGGGAUGCAGCUUGUGGUGUGUGUAUGUGUGUGGAGGCUGUAUGCAGUAUUGUAAUGGUGGGGAUGCAGCUUGUGGUGUGUGUGUGUACGCUGUAUGCAGUAUUGUAAUGGUGAGGAUGCAGCGUGUGGUGUGUGUGUGUGUGUGUGUAGGGAAGCUGUAGCAGGAUUGUAAUGGUGGGGAUGCAGCGUGUGGUGUGUGUGGAGACUGUAUGCAGUAUUGUAAUGGUGGGGAUGCAGCUUGUGUGUGGAGGCUGUAUGCAGUAUUGUAAUGGUGGGGAUGCAACUUGUGGGGGGUGUGUGUGAAGGGAGACUGUAUGCAGUAUUGUAAUAGUGGGGAUGCAGCUUGUGGGGUGUGUGUGUGUGUGUGUGUAGGCUGUAUGCAGUAUUGGAAUGGUGGGGAUGCAGCUUGAGGUGUAUGUGGAGGCUGUAUGCAGUAUUGGAAUGGUGGGGAUGCAGCUUGUGGUGUGUGUGUGUAGGGAGGCUGUAUGCAGUAUUGUAAUAGUGGGGAUGCAGCUUGUGUGUGUGUGUGUGUGUGGGCUGUAUGCAGUAUUGUAAUGGUGGGGAUGCAGCUUGUGGUGUGUGUAUGUGUGUGGGCUGUAUGCAGUAUAUUGUAAUGGUGGGGACAGCUUGUGGUGUGUGUGUGUGUGUGUGUGUGUGGAGGCUGUAUGCAGUAUUGUAAUGGUGGGGAUGCAGCUUGUGGUGUCUGUGUGUGUGUGUGUGUGUGUGUGUGUAGGGAGGCUGUAUGCAGUAUUGUAAUAGUGGGGAUGCAGCUUGUGUGUGUGUGUGUGUGUGUGUGGGCUGUAUGCAGUAUUGUAAUGAGGUGGGGAUGCAGCUUGUGGUGUGUGUGUGUGGGGAGCUGUAUGCAGUAUUGUAAUGGUGGGGAUGUAGCUUGUGGGGGUGUGUGUGUGUGUGUGUGAGGCUGUAUGCAGUGUGCUUAAUGGUGGGGAUGUAGCUUGUGGGGUGUGUGUGUGUGUGUGUGUGGAGGCUGUAUGCAGUAUUGUAAUGGUGGGGAUGUAGCUUGUGGGGUGUGUGUGUGUGUGGAGGCUGUAUGCAGUAUUGUAAUGGUGGGGAUGCAUCUUGUGGUGUGUGUGUAGGUAGGCUGUAUGCAGUAUUGUAAUGGUGGUGAUGCAGCUUGUGGUGUGUGUGUGUGUGUGUAGGGGGGCUGUAUGCAGUAUUGUAAUGGUGGGGGAAGCAGCGAGCAGCCAGUGGCUGCUGUAAAAUAAAAAUAAAAAACCCUAUUGCCCCCACCCCUGCACGGUGGUUGGGGGCCAUAAAGAUAAUAUUGGGGGGGAAUUUGUCUUAGGGCCCCCACCCGCUGCUCGGGGGUGGGUGGGGGAGGACAGUAGGUGUGUCCCCCAUUGUAAUUUAUGGCUCCCAUCCACCGCGCAGGGGUGGGGGCAGGAGGGGAGGACAGUAGAUUCCCUCCCCCUCAUUAUUUUUAUGGCCCCCAACCACCGCUCAAGGGUGGGGGUGGGGGGGGGUAGGACAGAAGGUCGUCGUCCCCAUUGUAAUUUAUGUCCCCCACCCACCGCGCAGGGGGGUGGAGGACAGUAGGCUGCUUACUAGACACGCCCCUACUCGCGGUAUAGCGAGUAGGGGCAGAUCAUUUACUAAUACUAAGUAAUUUUUACUCAGUAUUAGUAAAUGUGGCUGAAAGACCAGUUUAGGUUUUUCAGCCUUUUAGUAGAUAACUCCCUGAUACCGUGGGAAUUAGGGAGUUAUCUACUAAGCGGCUGCAAGAUGCAGCCACAGCACGAAUAGGAUCGGAGUUUCAUUCAUUCAAAUUAAAUUCCGAUCCGAAUAAAGUCCCGAAUUGCGUUCUAACACGAAUGGGAAAAACUGUUAGAACGCAAUUCGACAGUUUUGCCGGCGUCCUGUCUAAGUGACAGGAUGUUCGGCAGUACUGACAGUAGGCAUCGUGGGAACACGGAGGAAAGCUAAGGAUCAUGGGAAAAUUGCUGUGACCACUGGAAACUAAGCACACUUUGCUCCUCCGCUGGUCACUGCGUAGGAAACCUCCAGAAGAGAAAUAGUCCCUACUUUUUCUUCAUUUUUAAAGAAAACUAAAGCAGACAGGAAGAAAAGAAGAACAGAUACUGAGAGAGGGAGAGAAGAGGAAUCGAUUGGGGAAAGGUAAGUUCGGCAUGGCAGUGCUGCUUUAAAGCUCUACUGUGUGUGGGCACUAUAGAUGCUGCAGUAUGUGUGUGGAUAGUGACUGCAGUGUGUGCGAGGGGAUAUGGACUGUAGUAGGUGCGGGGUGGCAUAGGAACUUUUAGUAGGUGCAGGCGGAGAUAGUGGGUGCAGGAGUGAUAGGGGCAAUAUCGGGUACUGGGAGGUAUAGGUGCUGUAGUGGGUCCAGUGAGGGAUGGGGCUGUAGUGGAUGCAGAAAGGCAUAGGGGCUGUAGUGCAUACAGAGAUCAAUAGGGAUAAGAGGGUUGGGGCUGUAGUGGGUGCAAGGGGGCAUAGGGGCGAUAUUAUUUGCAGAAAGGCACAGGGGCUGUAGUGGAUGAGUGGGUACAGAGAAAGAUAGAGGCUGUGGUGGGUAGAGGGGAGCAUAGGGGCUUAGGUGGUUUAGGUAGGUACAGGAAGAGCUAGAGCCUGAGGUGGGUGAAGGGAGGGUUGGGGGCUAUGGUGGGUGCAUAAAGGCUGUAGUGGGUGCGUGGGCAUAUGGGCUAAGGUGGCUGCAGGAAGGCAUCGGAGCUGUAGUGGGUGUAGGGAUUGUGAUGGGCAAAAGGUGGGAUAGGAGCUGUGGCGGGUGAAGGGGGGCAUAGCGGCUGUAAGGGUGCAGGGUGGCAUAGGGGCUGUGGUGGGUCAAGGGGACAGGGAAGAGUAAAGGAGGGCAUAGGGGCUGUGGUAAGUGCUGGAAAGGGAUAGUGGCUGUGUGGGUAAAGGGGGGCAUGGGGCUGGAUGGGUAAAAAGGGGCUAAUAGUGUAAAAGUUGGCAUAAGUGAUGCACAGGGCUAGAUAGGUAAAGGGGGCAUAGGGGCUGAGAUGUGUGCAGGGGGUAUAGUGGAUGGAUGGGUAAAGGGGGGCAUAGGGGCUGGAUGUUUAAAGGAAGGGAUAGGGGCUGAGAUGUGUGCAAGGGGUAUAGGGGCUGUGGUGGGUAAAUGGGGUAAAGAAAAUCUUUACAUACCUGUAGAUUCUGUCAUGCUGCUCCUCUGCAGGAGACGGGGGCAGGAAGUGCCCCCUUUAGACUUCUGCAGAGCCGUGGAAUGGAGGAGACCUGACAAGAAGAGCAACAUCACUGCCAGGACUCUCUGAGAAGGAGGGGGUGGAGGGGGGACAUUUAGAGUGCAAUAGGAGCAACUUAUCACUGUGCUAUAAGAGAAAUGAUGGAUUUUUAGAUCAGAGAUCUCCCCAGCUGGCCUGGCCCCUGACUGCCACAGGUCCUCGGUCCAUGACAGAUGUGCCCGAGUAGUCAGUCUGCCCCUGUCAGAACGCUUGUUAAAGCACAGCUGAUGCUGUGUUUGACUCUACAAUAUCACUUUGACAUAUUUUUUUGUUGUCAUUUAAUAAACACAGGUAGAUAACUGCGUUCACAUGACAAAGUACAAUGCUGGACAAAUCAACAAAGUAUACAAUUCGAACCUCAGUUUGUGAGUGUACAAUAUAUGCAUGUCAGGUUGUGCAACCAGCACUUUCAGCUAAGAACCACAAGCGCUUCUGUUGUAUUACCUAUGAGGUUACUUUGCGUGAUAGAGAUUAGCUGCAGUAAGCAGGUGUCGGUGGAAUGUAGAGUUCUAGGUAGGUAUUGUAUUGAGGCAUGGAAGAGAGAAGACUCCUGGUUAGCAGGCCUCACUGCGUCCGUACCUGUUCAGUGGGUUGGUGUGCAGUAUGACAGGAAGGUCUGUCGCUGGGUUGGCUUUUCGUUUGGGGUUGGUUUCCGUGUGAGUCUUUCCAACCCGCCCAUGGUACACGUGAGACAUGGUCUCAUUAAUGGCUUGGCAAUCGCAUUCAUUUGGAAAAUACCCCGUGUUCAUUUUCCAUAUUUAAAUACGUUGGGAAAAAAUGUAAAGUUCAGCUGUGAAGCUCAUUCUUCGUUGUUGAUCCAAAAUAAGGAAAUACAUUUCCAUUGAUGCCAUAAAAAGGGAAAAAUUCUUCUUCUUGACUCCAUAAUGGCAAUCUGAUUUCUCUUUGAAUCGACAGCCUGUUUACAUACAUAUUCUGUUUAUGCAGAAAGCAUCCAAGCCUUUAAAAAAAAAAAAAAAAAAAAAUCUAGAAUCUCGUAAAACUGCAUUAUUGUACUUGCGGUAAAGAACCCUUUCCUCCAGCUUCAGUUUGUUAGAAGAAUAGUCAUAGCAUACACUCUAAACCAGGCGUGUCCAACCCGCGGCCCAGAACCACUAGUAAUGGUAAUAAGGCCCAGUUGCUGUCCGGGCGGCGCGGGAGGCAGGGAGCUUGUUUUUUGUUUUUACAUGGCAAUCCCACUCAAACGUAACAAACAAGUUAACAGUUAUCUGCUAAACAAUGUAAAUAUCAAAAUUAAGAAAAUGGCUUUUGAAGUUUUAUUGCUUGUAUACAUUAACUAUAUUAUAUAUUUGCUGUGCGGUCCAAAAACCAUUCCCCUUUGCUCAAUGCAGCCCAGGGAAGCCAAAAGGCUGGACACCCAUGACCUAUUUUAAACCAUACAUUUUGUUCUUUGUUUUUGUGCUUUGUUUUAGACAGACAUAUUAUAUUAUAUUAUAUUUUAUUUUAUAUAUAUUAUUUUUUUGUUCUGUGUAUUAUUCUAUAAAUAUAUUUUAAUCGCAUGCCUUUCAAAACUUGAAUUGAUGCUUAUUGUUUUUCUCGUUCCUGGAUAGAGUAACUGUAAUAUAAAUAGCAUGGUACUAAGUGUGUAUAUUUGGAUCGCUAUAGUGAAUAUAGUUAGGAGAGUAUCUUUAUACUAGAUUAUAGACCUUCUAGGUUUCCCUUACUUGAACAUACAGGGGAUUUAAAGACUUUUCUGGUGGGGCGCAGUGGGUUCUCUCCCUUCCUGGAGAUAGUUGUAUCUAUGGGAGGGCAAUUUGCAUAUUUUACUAAGGCAGGCAUAGGGAACCUUUCGCACUCCAGGUGUUUUGGACUACAUCCUCCAUAAUGCUCUUACACCCGUAAUGCUGGCAAUGCAUCAUGGGAGGUGUAGUCCAAAAUAUCUGGCGUGCUGAAGGUUGCCUAUGCCUACCCUAAGGUAAUACCCCUCUUUGGGUGCAUAGGCGCAGGGAUGCGGUGGAGAGUAGCUGUACUUCCCUGAAGCUGUCCCCCAGAGGCCACAGCAUCUUUUCUUUAACCCCUCUAGCUUCAUCCUUCAGGAGCCUACGUUCUAUUUUGAUAUAUUCUGACAGUGAAUUUCCAACGUGAUCAAUGUAUAUUUCUCAAUUCUCACAUUUUUGUGGUGCAGUUAAAGCCGUUUUAAACUGAGCCUUCCACCCAUCGACACUUGUUUUGUUCCAUAAACCCAUUCUCCGCAUCUUAUUUUAUUGCGGGUUUUCCUUCUAUUCCAACAAUACUGCUCUAAAUGGUCAUGACUUGAAAUUUUGAGUUGUAGUUCAGAACUGUAUUUCAAUUGCCAACAUUCUGCUGUAGAAGGUAAACUCCCAGAAACACUUGCCUGGGAUACUCUCCGCAGCCUAGGCUGGCGUGUUCCUUACCUGCUGUCAUUUUGGAGAUGAUACAGAAUGGGAAGGUUAGUACUCAGGUAGUGGGCUGUAUUGCUAAUCAUAGGGAAACGCAGAGCUUGGUAACCAUGACUACUAUGUAGACCCCCCCCAUCUGCAAACUACAGGGCUGACUAGCACCAAAAGCUGUAACUGUGUGCUGAUUCCAUCUUAAAGCAAAGCCUUUCUAGCGCCUGUUUUACAGAUGGUUAAUACUGAAACCCGCCACCAGAGUGCACUGUUGGCUGCAUUUCUGAAACUUCUUUUCUAUCAGACCGCAAGACAUAAAUGUACAAAGAAACGUAACUUUAUCUCUCACAGUAGAACUCAUCCAGCUUCCUUCCAUCUGCCUAUAACACAUUGUGCUUUUAUCUUUCACAACAUGCGCGAUCUGCUGGUACGGCUACACUGUAUAUAACAUCUAAUCUGCUUACUCACAGGGUCGACUCGUUAUGGUAGCCAGAAAAUGACCGUCGCAGUCUGGACCACUACAAGUAUUGUGAAUACCGAGCCAGUGGACUACGUUCAACAAAGGAUGAAGAAGGGACAAAAUAAUGUUUUAAAACAGUCCGUAUUUUAGACUUUUUUUUUUUUUUUGACUGUAAAAAAAUAAUUUUAUAUUUGGAUGUGGAUACGGUUUCCAGCAAGGACAGUAUUUUAUCAUACUAAAAGGGGAAGCAUGGCUCGAGCUGAUGUGUGCCAACCAUGGACCUGCUAACCAAUAAUGUCAUCCAGCUGACCAAUCCCAAUGCAAAGCUCUAGAACGUUGUGCCAUUGUCUAAGGACACUCUAGAACUUAUUUGGUGCCAAACUUUGUCUUACUGAUCAUUUUCACAUGCUAUUGUAAUUUAGCAUUUUCCAAAUGAAAAUCUUAUUCUUUUUAUAGAUCACGUUUUUGAUUUCCGGUUAUUUUCACAAAUAUAUUGAAAAUAAAUAUUUUCAGGUUAAGUUGUGUUUGGUUUUCUGUUAUGUACCCACCUCAUUUAUAAUGUGUGCGCAAACUUAGUAUUAAUCAGGAAGGGAUCACCUACUGAAAUAAUGUGGGACAAAUUUCAAUGAGUUGGUUAAAACUUCAUAUGAAUAAAAGUAGCUGUAGUAAUAACCAAAUUCCAUAUUCCAAAAUACUCUUCUAGUCUAAGAAAAAUAUCCAAUUGUGGGGACUAAACCCCCACUGCCAUAGGUUCGUUACUCAGCUUCUCUGUACCACAACAAAGAACAAAUGUCGGGGAAAUGAAAGACUCUAUAGUCACCAAAGAAAAAUUAUAUAUAUGUGUGUGUGUGUGUGUGUGUGUCAUUGCUGUAUUAACCCCUUAAGGACCGGCCUGUUUUUGCGAUGUUGUACAUUUGCGACCAGGCCUCUUUUUACACUUUUGUGGUGUUUGUGUUUAGCUGUAAUUUUCCGCUCUCUCAUUUACUGUUCCCAUACAAAUUAUAUAUUGUUUUUUUUCAGGACAAAAAGGGCUUUCUUUAC